GCGAAAACUUUACAAUGCUGGCAACAGCGAUAAGGGAACCUCGAGUGCCAGGUUACAAAUCUGGCUGUCGAGAUGCCUAAAAAGCAUUUCAUAGCAAGGGCCGGGCAAGACCGGUGCCAGCCGCCGCGGUAACACCGGCGGCUCGAGUGGUAACCGUUAUUAUUGGGUCUAAAGGGUCUGUAGCCGGCCGGAUAAGUCUCUUGAGAAAUCUGGCAGCUUAACGGUCAGGCUUUCAGGAGAUACUGUCUGGCUCGAGGCCGGGAGAGGUGAGAGGUACUUCAGGGGUAGGGGUGAAAUCUUGUAAUCCUUGAAGGACCACCAGUGGCGAAGGCGUCUCACCAGAACGGACCUGACGGCAAGGGACGAAGGCUAGGGGCACGAACC
rnacentral:rRNA from 1 species